rnacentral:rRNA from 1 species
GACGAACGCUGACGGCGUGCCUAACACAUGCAAGUCGAACGGAGCACUUCGGUGCUUAGUGGCGAACGGGUGAGUAACGCGUGAGAAACCUGCCUUUCAGUGGGGGACAACAGUUGGAAACGACUGCUAGUACCGCAUAAUGUCAUUUGGGGGCAUCCCUGAAUGACCAAAGAUUUAUUGCUGAAAGAUGGUCUCGCGUCUGAUUAGCUAGAUGGCGGGGUAACGGCCCACCAUGGCGACGAUCAGUAGCCGGACUGAGAGGUUGACCGGCCACAUUGGGACUGAGAUACGGCCCAG